rnacentral:rRNA from 1 species
UACGAAGGGGGCUAGCGUUGCUCGGAAUCACUGGGCGUAAAGGGUGCGUAGGCGGGUUUUUAAGUCAGGGGUGAAAUCCUGGAGCUCAAUUCCAGAACUGCCUUUGAUACUGAAGAUCUUGAGUCCGGGAGAGGUGAGUGGAACUGCGAGUGUAGAGGUGAAAUUCGUAGAUAUUCGCAAGAACACCAGUGGCGAAGGCGGCUCACUGGCCCGGUACUGACGCUGAGGCACGAAAGCGUGGGGAGCAAACAGG